rnacentral:rRNA from 1 species
AACGAACGCUGGCGGCAGGCCUAACACAUGCAAGUCGAACGAAGCCUUCGGGUUUAGUGGCGGACGGGUGAGUAACGCGUGGGAACGUGCCCUUUGGUUCGGAAUAGCCCCGGGAAACUGGGAGUAAUACCGGAUAAGCUCUUCGGAGGAAAGAUUUAUCGCCAAAGGAUCGGCCCGCGUUGAAUUAGGUAGUUGGUGGGGUAAUGGCCUACCAAGCCGACGAUCCAUAGCUGGUUUGAGAGGAUGAUCAGCCACACUGGGACUGAGACACGGCCCAGACUCCUACGGGAGGCAGCAGUGGGGAAUCUUAGACAAUGGGGGAAACCCUGAUCUAGCCAUGCCGCGUGAUCGAUGAAGGCCUUAGGGUUGUAAAGAUCUUUCAGUGGGGAAGAUAAUGACUGUACCCACAGAAGAAGCCCCGGCUAACUCCGUGCCAGCCGCCGCAGUAAAAC